AUCAAAAAAUUUUGGUAGCUUAGUGGUUAGAGUAUCGACCUCGACUCUAAGGUACUGGGUUCGAAUCCCGCCAAUGACA